AACGCGAAGAACCUUACCAGGACUUGACAUGCCACUUUUUCCUUCCAAGGGGAAGUUCCCGAAUGGACACAGGUGGUGCAUGGCUGUGGUCAGCUCGUGUCUUGAGAUGUUGGGUUAAGUCCAGCAACGAGCGCAACCCUUGUUUUGAGUUGCUAUUUUUAGGAAACUCAAAAGACUGCCGGUGAGAAACCGGAGGAAGGUGAGGAUGACAUCGAGUCAACAUGCCCCUUACGUCCUGGGCCACACACGUGCUACAAUGGCCGGGACAAAGAGAUGCAAUCCCGCGAGGGGGAGCCAACCUCAAAAACCCGGUCUCAGUUCGGAUUGUAGGCUGCAACUCGCCUACAUGAAGUCGGAAUCGCUAGUAAUCGCAGGUCAGACAUACUGCGGUGAAUACGUUCCCGGGUCUUGUACACACCG
rnacentral:rRNA from 1 species